rnacentral:rRNA from 1 species
AUACGUAGGUGGCAAGCGUUGUCCGGAAUUACUGGGAGUAAAGGGCGUGUAGGCGGGGAUGCAAGGCAGAUGUGAAAUUCCGGGGCUCAACCCCGGCGCUGCAUCUGAAACUGUGUCUCUUGAGGGCUGGAGAGGAAAGCGGAAUUCCUAGUGUAGUGGUGAAAUGCGUAGAUAUUAGGUGGAACACUAGUGGCGAAGGCGGCUUUCUGGACUGUAACUGACGCUGAGGCGCGAAAGUGUGGGGAGCAAACAGGAUUAGAUACCCUGGUAGUCCACACUGUAAACGAUGAAUACUAGGUGUGGGGGGUAUCGACUCCCUCUGUGCCGCAGUUAACACAAUAAGUAUUCCGCCUGGGGAGUACGGCCGCAAGGUUGAAACUCAAAUGAAUUGACGGGG